rnacentral:rRNA from 1 species
CCUUGCUACUUGGAUAACCGUGGUAAUUCUAGAGCUAAUACAUGCCGAAAAUCCCGACUUCGGAAGGGAUGUAUUUAUUAGAUUUAAAAACCAAUGGCCCCCCUCAUUGGGGGCUUCUCUGGUGAUUCAUGAUAACUUCGCGAAUCGCACGGCCUUGCGCCGGCGAUGGUUCAUUCAAAUUUCUUCCCUAUCAACUUUCGAUGUUUGGGUAGUGGCCAAACAUGGUUGCAACGGGUAACGGAGGGUUAGGGCUCGGCCCCGGAGAAGGAGCCUGAGAAACGGCUACUACAUCCAAGGAAGGCAGCAGGCGCGCAAAUUACCCAAUCCCGACACGGGGAGGUAGUGACAAUAAAUACUGAUACAGGGCUCUUUUGGGUCUUGCAAUUGGAAUGAGUACAAUUUAAAUCCCUCGACGAGGAACAAUUGGAGGGCAAGUCUGGUGAGCGUUUGUUGCUGGUGCCAGAGAGAGCCGCCCCUCCGUGUUAAACUUAUGCGGCUAGUCGAGUGCUCGCGUCAGUGGCGGGUGAGCACCGGCGAGACAACCUGGGUCGGGGAAGGCUAAAGGCGGCCCCCCUCCCCCCCUCAAACCUACCCAUCCCCGGCGGGCGCCGGGGGAGAGAGGGGGGGUGAGGAACCUACGCUGAUCCCGAGCAGAGCCGUGCGAGACGACGGGGACGGCCUGUGUAGAGCGCGCCAAGGUGUCGGUCCCAGGGGGGGGGGCGCUUACCCCCCCCCGGGGCUUAAGGUACGUGCCAAUCCCUUGCGAAAGCAGGGCCUUGCGGACGGAGCACCCGUCGUGCGAAGCUGCAGGGGGGGAGGGCUUAACCCCUUAACAUAACGCCCAGCCCCCCCCAAUGGGGGUGGGGGUUCCCUCCCGUGAAGGACAGACAGAGACGGAGGUGGCCAGCAGCCGCGGUAAUUCCAGCUCCAACAGCGUAUAUUAAGGUUGUUGUGGUUAAAAAGCUCGUAGUUGGACCUUGGGCCUGGUCGGCCGGUCCGCCUCACCGCGUGCACUGGUCCCGGCCGGGCCUUUCCCCCUGCGGAACCCCAUGCCCUUCGCUGGGCGUGGCGGGGAAACAGGACUUUUACUUUGAAAAAAUUAGAGUGCUCCAGGCAGGCCUAUGCUCGAAUACAUUAGCACGGAAUAAUGAAAUAGGACGUGCGGUUCUAUUUUGUUGGUUUCUAGGACCGCCGUAAUGAUUAAUAGGGACAGCCGGGGGCAUCAGUAUUCAGUUGUCAGAGGUGAAAUUCUUGGAUUUAUUGAGGACUAGCUACUGCGAAAGCAUUUGCCAAGGAUGUUUUCAUUAAUCAGGAACGAAAGUUGGGGGAUCGAAGACGAUCAGAUACCGUCGUAGUCUCAACCCUAAACUAUGCCGACUAGGGAUCGGACGAUGUCAAUCUAUUCGACUCGUUCGGCACCUUGCGAGAAAUCAAAGU